UCUGGGUCACCGUCUCAUAGAAAAUUUGGGCGAUUUGGAGGUGGUGGAAAAAUCGCCUUUGUUCAAAAAAUGGCGUAAGUUAGACCAAAUGGUCCCUCCGGAAUGCGGUGAUUUUUUCGACCACCUCCAAAUUACCUCAAUUUUGUCACACAUGAUCUCUUGCACAAACAAAGCUAGGUUUCCAAGGUUUUAUAUUUUUUGAAUUUUUUUGAAUUUAUACUGCCCUCUAGACUGACUAAUCAUAAAAUCGGUCUAUACCUCAAGGGGAUUGUAAAAUAUAUUUUUCCAAAUUUUCAUUCAUAGACAUGUUUGGCACAUGUGGGUCACCGUGUCAUAGAAAAAUUGGGUGAUUUGGAGGUGGUGGAAACAAUCACCUGUGUUCAAAAAAUGGCUUAAGUUAGACCAAAUGGUCCCUCCAGAAUGCGGUGAUUUUUUCGACAAGCUCCAAAUUACCUCAAUUUUGGCACACAUGAUCUCUUGCACAAACAAAGCUUGGUUUCCCAGGUUUUNNNNNNNNNNAUUUUUUUUGAAUUUUUUUGAAUUUAUACUGCCCUCUAGACCGACUGAUCAUAACAUCGGUCUAUAGCUCAAGGGGGCAUUGUAAAUUAUUUUUUUUCCAAAUUUUCUUUCAUAGACAUGUUUGGCACAUCUGGGUCACCGUCUCAUAGAAAAUUUGGGCGAUUUGGAGGUGGUGGAAAAAUCGCCUUUGUUCAAAAAAUGGCGUAACCAAAUGGUCCCUCCGGAAUGCGGUGAUUUUUUCGACCACCUCCAAAUCACCUCAAUUUUGUCACACAUGAUCUCUUGCACAAACAAAGCUAGGUUUCCAAGGUUUUAUAUUUUUUGAAUUUUUUUGAAUUUAUACUGCCCUCUAGAC
rnacentral:lncRNA from 1 species